rnacentral:rRNA from 1 species
UACGUAGGGGCAAGCGUUGUCCGGAAUCAUUGGGCGUAAAGCGCGUGUAGGCGGCCCGGUAAGUCCGCUGUGAAAGUCGGGGGCUCAACCCUCGAAAGCCGGUGGAUACUGUCGGGCUCGAGUGCGGAAGAGGCGAGUGGAAUUCCUGGUGUAGCGGUGAAAUGCGUAGAUAUCUGGAGGAACACCGGUGGCGAAGGCGGCGUCCUGGGACCAACACUGACACUGAUGAGCGAAAGCCAGGGGAGCAAACGGG